UACGUAGGGUGCAAGCGUUGUCCGGAAUUACUGGGCGUAAAGAGCUCGUAGGUGGUUUGUCGCGUUGUUCGUGAAAACUCACAGCUCAACUGUGGGCGUGCGGGCGAUACGGGCAGACUGGAGUACUGCAGGGGAGACUGGAAUUCCUGGUGUAGCGGUGGAAUGCGCAGAUAUCAGGAGGAACACCGGUGGCGAAGGCGGGUCUCUGGGCCGAUACUGACGCUGGAGGCACGAAAGCGUGGGGAGCAAACAGG
rnacentral:rRNA from 1 species